rnacentral:rRNA from 1 species
UACGGAGGAUGCGAGCGUUAUCCGGAUUUAUUGGGUUUAAAGGGUGCGUAGGCGGGCAUUUAAGCCGGCGGUCAAAUCGCGGGGCUCAACCCCGCCCAGCCGUCGGAACUGCCGGGCUAGAGUGGGCGAGAAGUGCGCGGAAUGCGUGGUGUAGCAGUGAAAUGCAUAGAUAUCACGCAGAACUCCGAUUGCGAAGGCAGCGCACCGGCGCCCUACUGACGCUCAGGCACGAAAGCGUGGGUAUCGAACAGG